rfam:Phycomyces blakesleeanus NRRL 1555(-) unplaced genomic scaffold PHYBLscaffold_29, whole genome shotgun sequence.
GCCCGGCUAGCUCAAUUGGUAGAGCGUGGGACUUUUAAUCCCAAGGUUGGGGGUUCGAGCCCCCCGUUGGGCG